AUGUUUAGAUGCAACCAGGCGAUUUUGAGCCGAUUCUUGUGUCGAAUAUUUUUGCGCGUUAUUUUUGCUUACAGGGUGAUUUGGCUUCAUUUGACAUGUAUUUUGAGUUUUGACAUUUGUUUGAUGCAUGCUUAUGUUUUAUUGAUCAUUUGUGGAGUUUCCUUGGUUCCGUUGCAUCUUUCAGUUUAUUUCAUAUUAUUAUCGUAG